rnacentral:rRNA from 1 species
UACGUAGGGUCCGAGCGUUGCCCGGAAUUAUUGGGCGUAAAGGGCUCGUAGGCGGUUCGUCACGUCGGGAGUGAAAACUCGGAGCUUAACUCCGAGCCUGCUUCCGAUACGGGCAGACUAGAGGUAGGCAGGGGAGAGCGGAACUCCUGGUGUAGCGGUGGAAUGCGCAGAUAUCAGGAAGAACACCGGUGGCGAAGGCGGGUCUCUGGGCCAUAACUGACGCUGAGGAGCGAAAGCGUGGGGAGCGAACAGG